UCGACUCUGACCUUUCUACUGCCCAGCUGUUAUCUUACAGUGCCCAACGUCCCAGCCAUGGCUCCUCGGCUCACAAGUCUUGACUCUGCCUUGAUGGCCACUGCCGACUCUGUCCACAACCUGCCUUACCGGGUCCUGGCCCUGGUUCCCAAGCUUAUACGGGACUGGAGAAGAAGCUGCAGAAGUAUUUCCAGAGCCCAGGGAAGUCCGGGGGAGGCGAGUGCACGGUCAAAGCCGGCCCAACCGAAGGCACUUUUUGGGUAGAGUUUUUGGAAAAAGAAGGAUAGGGCAAAACAGACCAUAUUUAAUGGCAGAUGAAAACAAACCAACAUAUUGGGAGAUACUGUGUUGUGCCCUGUCCUCCGGUUUACACUCCAUCUUCACGGGAAUAAUCCUGCACCAGCUUGCUCCACAAUUUGUGCUCCCAUCUCCAUGGAAAUCAGUUUGUGUUUUUUCCCUUUAAAUACCCUGACCCUACACCUGCUCAGGGCUGUUCCAUUUGAGUCUUUACUCCGAACAGUCGGUGCUUGAAUAAAUCCACUUCAAAAUUCA